GACGAACGCUGGCGGCGUGCUUAACACAUGCAAGUCGAACGGAAAGGCCCUGCUUUUGUGGGGUGCUCGAGUGGCGAACGGGUGAGUAACACGUGAGUAACCUGCCCUUGACUUUGGGAUAACUUCAGGAAACUGGGGCUAAUACCGGAUAGGAGCUCCUGCUGCAUGGUGGGGGUUGGAAAGUUUCGGCGGUUGGGGAUGGACUCGCGGCUUAUCAGCUUGCUGGUGGGGUAGUGGCUUACCAGGGCUUUGACGGGUAGCCGGCCUGAGAGGGUGACCGGCCACAUUGGGACUGAGAUACGGCCCAGACUCCUACGGGAGGCAGCAGUGGGGAAUAUUGCACAAUGGGCGGAAGCCUGAUGCAGCAACGCCGCGUGCGGGAUGACGGCCUUCGGGUUGUAAACCGCUUUCGCCUGUGACGAAGCGUGAGUGACGGUAAUGGGUAAAGAAGCACCGGCUAACUACGUGCCAGCAGCCGCGGUGAUACGUAGGGUGCGAGCGUUGUCCGGAUUUAUUGGGCGUAAAGGGCUCGUAGGUGGUUGAUCGCGUCGGAAGUGUAAUCUUGGGGCUUAACCCUGAGCGUGCUUUCGAUACGGGUUGACUUGAGGAAGGUAGGGGAGAAUGGAAUUCCUGGUGGAGCGGUGGAAUGCGCAGAUAUCAGGAGGAACACCAGUGGCGAAGGCGGUUCUCUGGGCCUUUCCUGACGCUGAGGAGCGAAAGCGUGGGGAGCGAACAGGCUUAGAUACCCUGGUAGUCCACGCUGUAAACGGUGGGUACUAGGUGUGGGGUCCAUUCCACGGGUUCCGUGCCGUAGCUAACGCUUUAAGUACCCCGCCUGGGGAGUACGGCCGCAAGGCUAAAACUCAAAGGAAUUGACGGGGCCCCGCACAAGCGGCGGAGCAUGCGGAUUAAUUCGAUGCAACGCGUAGAACCUUACCUGGGUUUGACAUGGAUCGGGAGUGCUCAGAGAUGGGUGUGCCUCUUUUGGGGUCGGUUCACAGGUGGUGCAUGGCUGUCGUCAGCUCGUGUCGUGAGAUGUUGGGUUAAGUCCCGCAACGAGCGCAACCCUUGUUCACUGUUGCCAGCACGUUAUGGUGGGGACUCAGUGGAGACCGCCGGGGUCAACUCGGAGGAAGGUGGGGAUGACGUCAAGUCAUCAUGCCCCUUAUGUCCAGGGCUUCACGCAUGCUACAAUGGCUGGUACAGAGAGUGGCGAGCCUGUGAGGGUGAGCGAAUCUCGGAAAGCCGGUCUCAGUUCGGAUUGGGGUCUGCAACUCGACCUCAUGAAGUCGGAGUCGCUAGUAAUCGCAGAUCAGCAACGCUGCGGUGAAUACGUUCCCGGGGCU
rnacentral:rRNA from 1 species